GGAAGGAUCAUUAACGAAGUUUAUUGGGAGUUGAGCUGACUCUUCGGAGUAUGUGCUUGCUUUCAACUCUUCUCUAUAACCACCUGUGCACCUUUGUAGUCUAUUGAUACCUCUCAAAGAGUCGAAAGGCGAUUUGGAUAGAGGACUUGCAGUGUAAAUACUCGCUUGUCUUCAAUUUCAAUAGACUAUGUCUUAUAAACUCAAUAUAAAAAACCAGAAUGUCUUGUAGUGUCUUUAUAUGACCUAUAAACUUAUACAACUUUCAACAACGGAUCUCUUGGCUCUCGCAUCGAUGAAGAACGCAGCGAAAUGCGAUAAGUAAUGUGAAUUGCAGAUUUCAGUGAAUCAUCGAAUCUUUGAACGCACCUUGCACUCUUUGGUAUUCCGAAGAGUAUGCCUGUUUGAGUGUCAUUAAAUUCUCAAACCUUUUUGGCUUUAUUGGUCGAAAAGGCUUUGGAUGUGGGAGUUGCUGGAACUAGCCUUUCAGCUCUUCUUAAAUGUAUUAGCGGGUUACUGAUCUCCGCUACUUGGUGUUGAUAGUCUAUCUUACGCCUUGUAGUUGAAUCAACUUAUGUAGCUGCUUCUAAUCGUCGACUUGGUUGACAAAUUUAUUGACUAUUUGACCUCAAAUCAGGUAGGACUACCCGCUGAACUUAAGCAUAUCAAUAAGCGGAGGAAAAGAAACUAACAAGGAUUCCCCUAGUAACUGCGAGUGAAGCGGGAAAAGCUCAAAUUUAAAAUCUGGCAGGUCUUGUAUCUGUCCGAGUUGUAAUUUAGAGAAGUGUUAUCCGCGUUGGACCGUAUACAAGUCUCCUGGAAUGGAGCGUCAUAGAGGGUGAGAAUCCCGUCUUUGAUACGGACUACCAAGGCAUUGUGAUACGCUCUCGAGAGUCGAGUUGUUUGGGAAUGCAGCUCAAAUGGGUGGUAAAUUCCAUCUAAAGCUAAUAUUGGCGAGAGACCGAUAGCGAACAAGUACCGUGGAGGAAA
rnacentral:sRNA from 1 species